rnacentral:rRNA from 1 species
GCAAGUCGAACGAACUUCCGUUAAUUGAUUAUGACGUACUUGUACUGAUUGAGAUUUUAACACGAAGUGAGUGGCGAACGGGUGAGUAACACGUGGGUAACCUGCCCAGAAGUAGGGGAUAACACCUGGAAACAGAUGCUAAUACCGUAUAACAGAGAAAACCGCAUGGUUUUCUUUUAAAAGAUGGCUCUGCUAUCACUUCUGGAUGGACCCGCGGCGUAUUAGCUAGUUGGUGAGGUAAAGGCUCACCAAGGCAGUGAUACGUAGCCGACCUGAGAGGGUAAUCGGCCACAUUGGGACUGAGACACGGCCCAGACUCCUACGGGAGGCAGCAGUAGGGAAUCUUCCACAAUGGACGCAAGUCUGAUGGAGCAACGCCGCGUGAGUGAAGAAGGGUUUCGGCUCGUAAAGCUCUGUUGUUAAAGAAGAACGUGGGUAAGAGUAACUGUUUACCCAGUGACGGUAUUUAACCAGAAAGCCACGGCUAACUACGUGCCAGCAGCCGCGGUAAUACGUAGGUGGCAAGCGUUAUCCGGAUUUAUUGGGCGUAAAGCGAGCGC